rnacentral:lncRNA from 1 species
GAUGUGUGUUGCACGUCGAUGGUUGAUCGAUAUGUACAUCAACAAGCUCAACGUGCGCGGAUCGAGAUCAAGGGUUGAUUGAAGAUAGAUCAAGGAGUUGAUCACAAUUGGACCUAGAGGAUCAAGAUCGAGUCAAGAGUUGAAGACGAUCAAACCAAUUGACGUGCAUGUGCUUGUAAAAUGACCCCAUCUUGGAUCCAUGAUCAUCACCAUUUAAUUUUAUUUUNN